rnacentral:lncRNA from 1 species
GCUUGGUUGGCAAAAGACUGCGGCUGUAGCUGUCUUGUUUGUGGGUGUUCUCUCCGUUACGGGUCAUUCUCCUCCUCCUCCAUUUCGGGACAGUGUUUAGGGGAAACACUGAAGAUACUUUCCCCCUUUAUUCGCCUCUGCGUCUCAGCGCCGAGGGCGCUAACUCAGGGCACAAAGCAGGGCCUGGGAGAUGGCCAGUGGCUGCCUCGCCGCCGCGGCCGGGGAGCUCCUUUCCCAACAGCUGCUCGGGCGACCACGCUGGCCCAAAACACACUUAUCUGCUGACAGCACCGGCUUAGGUCGCAUUCAUUGGGUCACCUGCGCCACAGCCCCAGUAGCUGCCCAGAAUGUCCAUGCCAGCUCUGCUCAGCCUCAUGGCACAGUAAGGUUUCCUACCAGCAGUGGACCUCCCAACAGCUAAGCUGAAAGCCCAGGGUAAGUUUCUGUGCCCGUUUACAGACGCAUCAAGCACAUGCAAGAUGACUUUCUGCAGAAGCUGACUGUGAAGAUCACACUGACUAAAAAGAUACCCCGAUAACACACUUACUGCCUCCCACAUCCCCCCGCCUCCUCCCCAACACAUCCAUGCCACUAACACACUCUCCCCACAACCGCCUAGAUCUGUCAGGAUCCAGUCUUUCCUUCACGGAAUGGUUAUCGAUAUUUUGGAUAAGGCUUUGAAGUCUGGUCAUUUAUUACUCUUCCAAGUCUUCAGAUUGAUCCGAGGGGAUGGUCCCACUUGGUUUUAGUCUAACCAGGUGAGGGAAGGGGAGGCGGGCCGUCUAAAUGUAAAGAGAAUUGGGUGCACACCACCAGGGGGCUGGAUCUCUCAUCUUGAACUACCCUCCCCCCCCCAAGCCCACCCCGAGAGCUUCCCUUUCUUUGAGGUGAGAAAGAUAAAUCUCAAAGCAGGAAAUUGUGGCUCUGGGCUCUGACACAGGGACCCUCUCCACAUUUGCAUCCCGUUAGGAAUAAUUACCUCACUGUGAAGGAGCGCGGACUGAGAAGCUAACGCAUGAAAGAACUUGCUGAAAUCAGUGAGUGUUUGGGUUAAAAUGUCUGGAGUUCUUGACAGUUCAAGGUAGGGCAAUCUCUGGUCUUUUAAUCUAUGUCUCUUUUGCCCUUAACUUUUUGGUUUUAGAAUUCAGUUAAAGUGUCAUGUCUAAAACCAAGGAGCGUGUUUAAGUCGCUGUUCUUGGUCAUGGACUUGGAUUUUCAGAGGAGUCUGAACACCCACAAGAAGCUUCUGCUGGGACAAGUGUCUGGAAAAGGAA